ACAAAUUAAAAUAGUACAAAACUUUCGAGUUAUACAAUAUGCAAUCUCAUUAACAUUACUGAAAUCCUAAUCCAAAUGAACCCAUCACGCGAAAUAUUUAAAACUGAACAGUAGAGGUAAAGGUUCAGUGAGUAUAUGUUUCUAUUAUCCAUACUUCAAAUUCAUUUUUUUUUUCUACAAAUGCGGUAAUCUCCGGCAUCACUUGAGCAUGAGAAAUACCUGGAACUGUUUACAAUGGAAGAAAAAGGAAGAUCAGCAGCAGCAAUCAACAGCAAUACACCAGCAGCAAUGGAACAACUUGGAAAACCAACAACACAACAAUGGAACAGUUUCAAAACAACCAGCACAGCACCCAAAACCAAAUAAAAAACUCGUAAUCCACAGAAUCACAGCAACCCACAGUUGACCCCAAUUCGAGACCAGAAACACACUCAAACAAGGUAUGAACUGAUCUGUAAAAUCCAACAAUAAUAGCCACCACCCAAAAGACUCCACUGAACUUGAUUGAACCACAACUGGACCAAAACUUCAAUGGAACAAUGUUGGCUUAUACUCUUAAACAGACAGGUCCUAAGCUCUCAAAAACUGACUUUAAGCUUUCAAAACUCUCAGACUAUUCAAGAUUGAAUGCCAGAAGAACUAUCUGUUUUCUUUUUGAGUGCUCUUCUCAAACUGAUUCAAAAGAGAAGCCCCUUACUCUGUCCCUUCCCCCCUCUAUUUAUACCCAAAAAACCCCUUUGACAUCCUUUUUUAACAUUUAGCCUUAUUAUGAAAUGUAUUCCCUGACAGCCCUAUUAUCAUACUGUCCCUUUCUAAUAUUUUUAUUCACAGGUGUAUGGGCAGCCUAAAUUUAAAAUUUAGGCGUGCCUGACAACCAUACUGCCCUGUUACCCUCAACUCCACUUUCAAAUUAAACAAACUUCUCUUUACUCAAAUAACUCCACUGUUAAUUGAUUCCAGAACUAGCUUGGUCAGUAUGACCAAAACAGACCUAAGUUCGGCUUCUACAGCUAGUUGAACCAACACGUUGGUUCUUUUUAACCUCUUAAACCAAAACAUAUACAAAAAUAGAACCAGGCAAUUCCAAAAUGAUAAGUGGGAGAUACAGGAAAUUCGAGUGAUCUCAACAAAGUCCAAUUAACUAUAAAACCAAACUAACGGACAAACCUAUUCAAUCGAUUCAAAGAGAUUAUAGCACGUGCUAAUCAACAGAAGAAAACUGAACCAAGAAAACGGCCCGAAAGAGGAGGAAGAACUACUUGACAACAAUGUCGAAUUAAUCAGUCAAAAUAAAACAGCAACAAAAGGAAAAGGAAAACAAAGGGAAAUACCUUGAAAUUUCAGACCAAACCCAAUCCGUUCUAGCUUACACUUCAACUCAAAAUUUCGAAGCCAAAAUGGACCUUAGUCGAGUGUUCUUCCACUCAGAGCACACGACUAAAGUCUAUUGAGACCUCAAAUUUUAAGCCUCGCAUCAAAACUGGAGUUUUGGGUUUUAGGGCUCGUCUUUGAUUUGAAAUUCGAGGGGCUCUGCUAGGAUUUGAGUAAAACUAACAGGGGAUUUGGGAUGGGGGUGGCCUAAUGGUUUAGAGGUGUAAAUUUGGGGCCAAAUAGACGAACUAGGGUUUGGGGUUGAUUUUUGAACUGAUAGUCUAAGAACCUGGUUGGGAUUUGAGGGAUGCUGUUAGGGGGAUUGGGACGGGGAGGUUAUGGUGAAUCUAGGGUAUAAUUUUUGGACGAUUUGGGCCACUGGAACCGCCGUUAGGCGAUUUCUGGUAGGUGGAGUACGGUGGAAGAAGGUGGAGGGUUCUGGGUUUGUCUCUGAUUUGUUAGAGCCGUAAUGAUGGGGGG
rnacentral:lncRNA from 1 species